rnacentral:lncRNA from 1 species
UAUUUUCUACAUGUAGCUGUAAAUAUAUUGUAGAAUGGGAAGAGAAAAAGUUCUGGAUGUUUGAGGGUAUUGUGCUUAUCAUGUUAAUAUGUUCCUCCUCAAUGGUAUGGUACAGACAAAGACAGCUUGACAGCGUGUUCUACCAGAAACUUCAAAAACAAGUGGAGAGCGACACUAUAUAGUAGUACGUGAAUAUAUUACAACAACAAUGAAAUGCAAGUUCACAGUCCGAGCCAAGCCAUAUUCCUGUACAGUACUGAACAAUGUAUAUUUUUAUUUAUUUGAUUUGGAGGAAUAUGCUGGGUAUGAUUUGUAACUAUAGUUUUAAAGGAAAACAAGUGAAAGGAAGUCACUGGCUCAAGAAUGGCACAAGAAUAUGUUUUAAAGGAAAUCAUUGCCCGUGGAGAUUGUAUUUUGACAGGCCACUGUUUCCAUGCAGAUUAUACAUGGCUCCAAAGCAGAAUUGUGUGUCCCAAUUUGGAGACAUUUUUAUGAUUGACUCAUGCAGAUAAUUUGUAAUGUUAUGGACAGUGGCCCUUUUCACAGUUAGCUUUUGGCAUGUGCAUUGCAUCCCUCACAGGGAUGUGAGGCAAUUUCAGGAAGAAACUACCAAAUUGCCUUGACUUGCCUUGCGUGCACACUGGAGUGUAAUGCAAAUGAGAAGGUUAAGCAUGAAAAGGGUUACUUACAGCCCAUGUUUUCCAGCAAUGAGUAAUUUACAUGUAAAAACCAAGUACUGUUAAUCUAGAUGAAAACUCAGGUUUCACCUCUUUCCUUUUUGAAGUGGUUUUACCUCGAAAAUAUUUUAAGGUGAUUGGCUCUGCUAUACUACAGUACAUGCAACAUUUUUAUUUGGUAGUAUAGUUGAUCUUCCCCCUUAAAAGUAGUCUUCUUUACAGCUGUUAUUAGGGUUGUCACACAACGCCUUUCCCCACUUUGUGUGACAACCCUAAUAACGGCUGUGAAGAAGACUACCUUAAAAGCAGCCAUUUCAUUUUUAUUUAGUACAUGUACUUUCACAUGUAUUUCUCACACAGUAAAGUUUUACUUGUCACAACUGGGAUGUUUAAGUUUAUGUUUUCUUUAUUUCCUACAUACUUCUAUGUGUAUGUGUAUUGAUUGACUUCAAUAGCCUGAUUUUCGAGUUGUCCCUCCAUCUGAGCUCAAUUUUUCCCCUUCAAGAGAUGUCAGAGAGUUCCCCUUAGAAUUUAAUCCAUAACUGCUUUUCAUGAUCUUUAGUGUCCUACAGAGACACAUAGUCUUUAAAUAAUAGCUUCUAGGCUGUUUUUGAGAAAUUCGUAACUCAGCUUUGACCAGGCAGAGGCACUAUAUUGAAUUUGCUCAAACAUAAUCAUCAUCAUCAUAAUCAUUGUCACCACUAUCAUCGCCACAUCUUGCAGGGAAGAACUGAGCUUCCGAGUAGAGAUUUUUCAGAGCUAUCCAUUCCAAUAACAGAAUGGUUUUAUAAGAAAAAGUACAACAAGUGAUGCAUACAAAGUCAUGUGCAUAGGCAUUAUAGUUGCCAUUUAUUUACUAAUAUAUAUCUAAAACAAAACAAUGUUGUAAUAAAGAGAGUAAUAAAAUGGACUUACAGUAUGGUAAAUAAAGAGAAAUUGGUUCUCAACUAACCACUUCACAUUGUUUUCAUUUUUGCUAGAAUAUAAUGUGUUAUGCACAGUGAAUCUCAUUAUGUACCUUAUAUUUUCAACAAUAUAAUUCCCAAGCCUGUAAAUAGAAGCCAGUCAUCAGAUGAUAAUAAUAUAAUUAGCAUUGACCAGUGAAAUUUUAGUUUGGCCUGACAGAUUUACCUCAAGCAAUCUGAAACAUUCAAUUUUGUAGGAAAUUAAAAAUAUAUAUAUACGUAUCUUAUGGUAUGUCUUAUGAGGUCAAGCAUUGAGAAUAUAAAGAGUCCAUUUCAUGCCUAGACAUCAGAACAGUAGAUGUAAAACUAGUGUACAUUGUAUAUACUAAUUAUGGUCAACCUGACAUGAAAUGGAAGUAGCUAAGACGUGUUUUCCUUCAUUCUGAGCAGAAAUGUGAUGCAUAGUAGCUCUUUCGGUCCCAGAUUUUUCUUGGACCAAUAUCAACUCUUUCUUAACAUUCUGACUUAUCCAGAACUCAAAUUAACAUGUUACAACACUGAAAAACAGACUAUCCCAUCCAUGAGAGCAUGUGCAACAGUCAUUAAUCCCACUGACUGGAGAAACACUGGCUCUGCACAAGAAUUGCUACUGUUGGAAAGUGUUUGAAGCGAGUACAAAGUAAAAAGAGGGUAAAUUACAAGUAUAUCCAAAAAGAUAGUUAAUUAUGUACUGGGUACUUGACUAAAGCAGCAAGGAACUUUAAUUGCAUGAGAAAUAACAGUUUCAGCAUAAGAGCAUACAAAAGAAUUCAUUUGAGUCUCAUGCUCAAUGCCUUAGACUUGAGAGCUCUGCAAUAAUAAUUUAAUUAGCAUUUUGACCACCAAAAGUUUAGUCUGAUCUGAAAAAUUUUGAUUAGCUCAAACAAUCUAUUUACCUGGAAAUUAAAACUAUAUAUUAUGGUACGUCUCAAGAUGCCAAGUGUUGACA